CUACGGAGGCAGCAGUGGGGAAUAUUGGACAAUGGGCGAAAGCCUGAUCCAGCCAUGCCGCGUGUGUGAAGAAGGCCUUCGGGUUGUAAAGCACUUUCAGUGGGGAAGAAAGCCUUGGGGCUAAUACCCUCGAGGAAGGACAUCACCCACAGAAGAAGCACCGGCUAACUCCGUGCCAGCAGCCGCGGUAAUACGGAGGGUGCGAGCGUUAAUCGGAAUUACUGGGCGUAAAGCGCGCGUAGGCGGUCUGAUAAGCCGGUUGUGAAAGCCCCGGGCUCAACCUGGGAACGGCAUCCGGAACUGUCAGGCUAGAGUGCAGGAGAGGAAGGUAGAAUUCCCGGUGUAGCGGUGAAAUGCGUAGAGAUCGGGAGGAAUACCAGUGGCGAAGGCGGCCUUCUGGACUGACACUGACGCUGAGGUGCGAAAGCGUGGGUAGCAAACAGGAUUAGAUACCCCAGUCGUC
rnacentral:rRNA from 1 species